UGUGUAAGGGAUUGUGUCAGAAGCCAAGCCGUAUUUUCAAAUUUCGCCUACCGUUGAAACUAUAAAUUUGUAAAGCGGCACGAAGCAGUCAUAAGUUUUCAAUAACUGCUGAAGUGAGCGCGGGAUGUAUUCAGCAUUCUUAUAAAUAUCCAAGAGGCAGUCUAUCAAUGUAAAUCUUUGAAGAUUAUAUUGGGGACAGUCAAAGAAAAUGUGAUCAAGAGUUUGGAUGGAUAAAUUUGAUAGAAUUGACAAGUUGGAGAAUCUAAAACACCGAUCCUAAAUAAAUGAGCACCACUACGAGAAUGUCCCAGACGUAACCGACAAAUUGUGGUGUAUAAUUUUCUGUGGAAGUAUUUUUUCUUUUUAACAAACCAGGGAGGAGAGAUUUCGUUUUAAUGUCGGCUAACCAUUUGCCCUUUGUUUGAACAACUUGUUGCCAAUAAUUCUGAAAGUCUUGCAAGAAUGUACCUUUAAAAUGAGACAGUGCAUCUGUGUGUGGUAUGGGAAUGUUCAAAGCAGUAUGUAUCUGAUUACUAUUCACAAUAGAUUUAGCAAGAUAAUCAGCUUGUUCAUUUCCUUCCACGCCUAUGUGUGAAGAAGUCCAGAAUAAAACAAUAUCUUUUGUUAGGCAUAAGCAUUGAUAUUUGUCUCUAAUAUUGUAAAUGAUGAAAUUAGUUGUAACAUUACAUUUAGGAUAUUGUAAAGCUUUUAAAACACUCAUGCUAUCCGUUAUAACAAUCCAAUUAUUAUAUGACUGUUCUCCAAUAUAUUCUAGAGCAUCAUAUAUGGCAGCACAUUCUGCUGUGUAUAUACUAGCCAAGGUAUUUAACCUAUGAUUAAACCCACUCUGCAGUUGUAUGUCAUAAACUGUCAUAGAGACAGCAGUAUUACUUUCCUUGAUGCCUUCUACUUGAUAGUAGGAAUUAUUGUCAGUUUGGUUAAUAUAGUCCUGUAUCUUUAAUAGGAGUGGAUGAUUAUUAAUAGAAGUUAAUUUGAGAAAGAAUUUUGUUUGUAGAUAUUAUAGGAGUAGACCUAAAAGCGCCUGUUAUGAUCCUUAAGCAUUUAUUUUGUAUUUUUUCUAAUUUAUUCACUAAUGUAAUUACUCCACCAUAACAAAAGAAGGCCUACUCAAAAUGGCUACGGACUAAUGACUUAUAUAGUGUUAGCAAGAUGUGUGGGUCUGCACCCCAAUAUGUACCAGCUAAUGAUUUCAGAAUAUUGCAGGCCUUUAAUGCUCGAUUUCUAAUAUUUCAACAUAUUUGUGCCAUCUAAAAUUACUUAAAAACGUAACUCCUAAAAACUUUAUUGAAUUAUCUAUUGAAAUUUCCUUAGUACCAUAAUAUAUUUUUGCAUCUCUUAUUCUUAUAGAAUGCUUUGAAAAUAUUAUAUUGAAAAUAAAGCUCCAAUUUUUUGAGUGCUACAUUAAGAUCUAACACAACAUUUGAUAAAUUAAGUCCUGAACUAUACACUACUAGAUCAUCAGCAAAUUGGAGGUUAGAAACUCUAUUAACCAAAACAAUAUUUAUUUGAUUUAUGUAGAUUAUAAAGAGCAAUGGACUCAAAAUUCCGCCCUGCGAUACGCCUCUAUAUGAAUAUCGAGGACCUAUUAAUUGGUUAUUGACUCUAACAUAAAGUUUACGACCAAGCAAGAAAUUGAAUAUCCAACUAACUAUUUUUUCAGGGACAUUUAAGGAUAGCAGAAUGGAUGAUAAUUGUUCUAAAUUAACAUUAAUAAAUGCUCCUACAACAUCCAAAAAAACACCAGCCAAUAUCUUAUUGUCAAUCUGGGCACUAUGGAUGUCAAGACAUAAAUGCCGUAUACUCUCACAAGCAGAACGACCACAUCGAAAUCCAAAUUGAUUAUUAGAUUACUGUGUGGAGGAAUGUUGGAUGGAAUUGAAGAAGAUUCAGUUUCCAACACUACCAUGGAAAAUUUUGUGAUUGUAGGCAAGUGAUAGCUGCCCAAAGAGUCCUGAUGAACUUGCCAUUCACAGCACAGGAAUAAUACUAUUAUGAAUGAAUAUGAAGAUGAUACUAUUAUUAGAUCUAGUCCAUUUGGUCUCCAAGAAUUAGUACCCACUGUAGUUGGUUGAUCAUUAUUUAAGAGCAUUAAGUCAUUAUCAUCAAUGGAUGUAAUGACAUCCAUGAUGUCUCUACCUCUAGAAUUGGUUCUAUUACAACCUCAAAUGGCAUGGUGAGCAUUAAAAUCACAGUAAUUAUUAGUGGUUUUGGAAUACUAUGCAACAGUCUAUUAAAUUUAGAUUUGUCAAAGUUAGGUACACUGCUGCCAGGACUAUAAAAGCUAACAAUUGAGAUGUCUUUUUGUUUGUAUUUUAUUUUGAUUGCUACAUUUUGCAAGUAGUUAUCAGAAAAUGUUUCUAACUUUUGAAAAUAAAUGCCAUUUCUAACAAAAAUUGCUACACCAUUGUGAUCAUUACCACAAUCAUUUCUUAGUAUUGUAUAACCUCUGAUAGAAAACUGUAUAUUUGGUUUAAGCCAAGUUUCUGAUAUAAGUGCUAUGUGUAUGUCCUGCUCAUAAAGUAGGUUUUGAAGCUCAAGUCUGUUACUCAACAGACUUUGAGCAUUCCACUGUACUAUGUUAAGUUUGUGACAGUUGAAUGUGAUGUUUUAUUUUUAAUUUGUAUGGUAUCUUUAAUAGCUGAACUAAUUGCGUGUGAGCUAAUGCUUUGAUUCUGUGUUUUAUUUAGUGUAAUGACUUUUAUUAUUGAUUCUGUGAUUAGGUUCAUUGCUGCUGGAUUGGAUAAAAUUAAAUUAAUGAUGUCUUGUGUGUUCUCUGUCUUAUUGAGUGAUGGAAAGUUUGUUGGAUGUUUAAAUAAAUCUGAUAAUGGUGUUUUA